rnacentral:rRNA from 1 species
UGCAGUCGCACGAGAAAGCGGAGCAAUCCGUGAGUAAAGUGGCGCACGGGUGAGUAACACGUGAAUAAUCUACCUCCGAGUGGGGAAUAACUGAGAGAAAUCUUAGCUAAUACCGCAUAACACUUACGAGUCAAAGCAGCAAUGCGCUUGGAGAGGAGUUCGCGGCCGAUUAGUUAGUUGGCGGGGUAAUGGCCCACCAAGACGAUGAUCGGUAUCCGGCCUGAGAGGGCGCACGGACACACUGGAACUGAAACACGGUCCAGACUCCUACGGGAGGCAGCAGUGGGGAAUUUUGCGCAAUGGGGGAAACCCUGACGCAGCAACGCCGCGUGGAGGAUGAAAUAUCUUGGUAUGUAAACUCCUUUCGAUGGGGAAGAUAAUGACGGUACCCAUAGAAGAAGCCCCGGCUAACUUCGUGCCAGCAGCCGCGGUAAUACGAGGGGGGCAAGCGUUGUUCGGAUUUAUUGGGCGUAAAGGGUGCGUAGGCGGUUUGACAAGUCUUAUGUGAAAUCUAUGGGCUCAACCCAUAGUCUGCAUGAGAAACUGUCGGGCUUGAGUAUGGGAGAGGUGAGUGGAAUUUCCGGUGUAGCGGUGAAAUGCGUAGAUAUCGGAAGGAACACCUGUGGCGAAAGCGGCUCACUGGACCAUAACUGACGCUGAUGCACGAAAGCUAGGGGAGCAAACAGGAUUAGAUACCCUGGUAGUCCUAGCCCUAAACGAUGAUUGGUUUGAUGUGGCAGGUACCCAAUCCUGCCGUGUCGAAGCUAACGCGAUAAACAAUCGGCUGGGGAGUACGGUCGCAAGGCUGAAACUCAAAGGAUUGACGGGGGCCCGCACAGCGGUGGAGCAUGUGAUAUCGACGCACGCGAGACUUACUGGCUCGAAUGUACAUGAUCC